rnacentral:sRNA from 1 species
AACCAGUACGAGGUGCUCAUCGGAGCCGA